CGUGCAUUUCAAAAUAGGUAGUAAACAUUUAGAUAAAUAGAAAAGAAAGCUCUAACAUUAUAUCAAAUAAUACAAUACAGUGGUCUGCUUAAAUUGUUCGAAAUGGGAUUACGAAUUCGUUUAAUAAAUGUGUUCGUUUUUAUAACAGUUAUUGCACUAUUACUGCAAGAAUAUCAAGUUGAAUGUCGCGGAGGGCGUGGUGGAGGCCGUGCCAGGUACAGGGGCGGAGGUGGAUCCAGAGGUUCUGGUGGUGGAGGAGGCCCAUGGUGGAUGUAUGUGGCCAUAUUUGGAGGAAUAUUCGCGUUUGUGGCAGGCAUUUUUAUUGUCAUAUAUAUCUACAAGAAAUGUCGAUAGCUGUACAUAAACUGUCCAUAUUUAAUGACGCAGUAGUACAUAUAUAUAGUUCUAAAAGACAAACUCGUACUCUGCAUGUUAAUACCAGUGGCAAUAACAGAGCUUCGUUCCAUUAGUCGUGCGUAGUUUUUCGUGAAAUCAUGCAUCACACUUCAUACUUGUUGAGUGUUUCUUAUCAUGUGUGUGUGUAUGUUAACCAAUUUGAAGACAUUUUAGUGUCUCAAGAAAGCUGAAGAACAGACACAAACCGAGUCUGCUAUUAUUCUUCUUGGUUGCAUUUUUUGUUCCCAAAGGAUCUUUUUACACAUUUAAUUACAUAUUGAUCUAAUCAUAUUUCAUUACCUUUUACAAACCAUUACAUUAUCAUACAUAACACGCACAUAUACAAAAGCAAAUAGUUUGGGCUACAAGCUAUUUCAAAGUAUUAUUUGUUGUUCCACCAGCUAAAUAUAUAAAACGAUUUUACGUUUAACUUAUUGGAAUUUCUUUUUUCACAUCAAAUCAAUAUCACGUUUUCAACGUGUUAAGAUGUGGAAGGACCUGAAUAUAAAACUCAUUUUGUCAUCUUUGCAUGUCUCCUGAAAAUGGAAUAGAUAUACCAAAAAUAUGACAAGUCAGUUACAUCGGAUGCAUAACAGAUGAUCCGCCAAACAAGUAUUGAAUGGCUCUCUUGCUGUAUAGUUAUUUUAUAUAAAUACUGUAAAAUUUAUAUUUGUAACUUUCAAGCCUUUAAAGUUUUUUAUUUCAUGUGAUAGCUAAACCAUACAGUCGUAGGAGUCAGGAGUAAUGAUGUCAAUGUAGAAACAGCUUGCUGGAGUUACGCCUAUAUUAUGAGAAAUAUGUCAGAACAAACAAAAGGACAGGAGCAAGGUUAAAUCUGAUUAUGCAAUAUACUUAUGAUAUAGCCUUUUGCUGACACAUCUAACAAUUGUUUAAGAAAGUGCUUAAAUUUGUUCAGGUAUUUUAAGUAGAAGUAUAAAUCUUUUACAUACUUGAUUUAAUUCUAAAUAUGUUAAAAACCUUUAAGGCGUUUUACUGUAUAUUAAAGACUGAUAAAGCGGAUAUCAAAAUGUGGACAAUUACAGAAAUAGAAAAGCAAUAUGUCCAUAUUGCACAUGAACUUCUACCGCAUAUAGCCAUAACGGGGGGUAAUCAAAAAUAGUGGAUUAUAAGACUUUCUACUAUGAAAUUGAAACCUUUGGCAUUUAACUGAGGAAACAAUUCGCGAAAAUAUCAUUUAAGAAGUUGUUAAAUUAUAUCAUGCUUGAAGCAAAAAAUGACAGCUACACUACCUCAAGAAACAUUAUGCCUCAUUUAUGUUUACGUAAGACAUAUUAACACUUUUAUUAGAUUUAAUUGAAAUAUAUUUAUGACUUGUAAAAAUGAGUGUGAAAAUCAUUUUCUUCCUGUUGUCGGAAAUAUGUUAAUGUAAGACUGUGAAUAAAUUAUAGUCUUUCAUUUUACGAGUAAACAUGUUUGCAUGUCUGUCGAUGUCUGCAUGUGUGAUAUUAUUUUAUUUUACGCAUUUGUAUUUUAUAUGAGCGGCUGCAUUCUCUUAAUGUGGCUUUUGCUGCAGGACUUUUUUCUUGGGUUUAAAUAAACUGAUAUUUUAAAACUUGACAAAACAUUGUUUUGGUUGUUUGUGUGACUCCUUAACUUAUGGCCCAAAAGAAGGGGUCAUUUACUGACCACAGGCAGGCAAACAUCCUUUUAAACUUACUUUCUUUUUCAUAUUGUGUAUUAUCAUGUCCAAUGCAGCCUGCAAAAUUCAUUUUCAUUUGUGCAGAAAAUGAUUUUUGCGAUAUAAAACUGCCGAAUUCCAAAUAACAGUACUCCUUUCUUCUAAUUCAUAACACAAACUUCAUCAAAGUAAAAAUGCAGUGUCUAAUUUAUUUACUUUUUAGACUAGUUUAAAGCAUUGUUGCACGACAUCUUGUCUUAAAUGAGCUUAUUAAAAUGUUGAGAUGUCUUCGUUGGGUGUUGUAUACUAGUAUGUAACAGUUUCUGUGUUGAUGUCGAUUGUUUAGUUACAGUUAGAAGGCGAGGUUUUGCCAAAAGUAAGUCUUGAUUCAUGGUCUCCUAGUAAAGAAAACCCCAUAUUUUAUUUUCAAUCUUCAUAUAUCAUAUCAUCAAAUGAAUAUAUGACAAGGGCUAGUAGACCAGUGCAAUGAUCCAUUUAUUCUGAACUAUCACGAUUUUAGCAAAAAGAACUGUUAUGGUGUGCAUACAUAGUAACAAAAUAUAACCAUUACUGAAGUAUGAAAAGCAGCUAACUUGCUCUUAAUUGUACCUAGACACUGCCUGCCAAAGACAAUUCAUCAUUUUAACAAAAGAAGGAUAGAAGCCAGCUUACUUGAAAAACAGCAUUUGUUUAAGUCCUUCUAUGGAACACGUAACUUUAGAAAAUAUGAUUGCAUUUUGGAUCAACAGUAAAGACAAAACGUGUAUUGUUUGAAAAUAAAAAUUGAAAUCACAAUUACUUUCCGUAUUAAACAUGUAUAUUGUAACACUAAAUAACAACAAAUACACUUAAAUAAAUCAUACCUUUUACGUGUAGCAUUAAAGAGUGUGGGCUGUUGUGUUUUAUCUGGUACUUCAAUGUGAAAAAAUGAAUGUUUUGCUGUGUUCUGAAAGAAUAAAAGUUAUUUAAUCGCAAACUACUAGUAAUCUGAAUAGUGUUAAUAUAUGUUGCGCACUGACAGACACUAGGGUAGAGCCACCGACUUUCUCCAAGCAAGAUGGAUAGCUUCCUCGCUUGCCGAAAUAAAAAUGAGUUCGUUCAGCAAAUAAUUGACGGAUGGACAGACCGGAUGACUAAAUGCUCCCGCCACUUAAAAAAUAACAUUUUAAGAUUGAAACCAUUUAAAAGAAAUAAUGAGAGACAAGCAUCGAAUCAAUUUUCACGCUGACGAAUUGCAAAAAUUUGAUGCUUAAAAUUGCAAAAGAAUUAAUAAUGUCCUGAGCGUCUGUCCGGUGUUAAGUUUUUUUGUUCACCAGCGUUUCUGUCAUUGGUUUUCUUGUAUCAUUGUAUAGGCGAUUAAAUGCAAAUAUUCAUUGUCUGCGAAAUCUUCCAUAAUUGCUGCAUCUAAAACUUAUUCUCGUCCCGAAAUUGGUCUCGACUUACAACCGACAAAUCAAAACAGAUUAGACAAUACGACAAAACUCAUUUAUAGACGAAGAUUAAUAUAUAUGACUUUGAUAUUGUGCAUUGAUGUAACUAAUUAGGUCAUAUAUUUUUUGCGUUUGUCGUAAAGAAAGUAAAGAAAAUUAUUUCUAAUUAUUCAUGGGAACGCAUACCUGUAUCUAAACACAUCAUACAUGUACUAGUUAAAUAAAAUCAGUUUAGUUUAGCGCUGAUUAAUCUGCUUCAGCCAUCUAAUCAUUGUGGGAUUUGGCUUUAGUUUUCAGUCAUAUAUCAUUCUAAGUACACAAUAUUUUCUUUAACAGAGAUUUUCUAGACGGAACACAAAAUUUUACAUUAAUAAACAGCCCCGCCCUUA